rnacentral:lncRNA from 1 species
AUAACUGUAGCUCACUUAACAUAGCAACUUGAUAGUUGAUUUUAAGAUGAACUUUAUGUUUGUUGAAAAACUUUUGUGUAGGUUUUCAGACAGUUUGUGCUUCUUGUUAGGGUUGGUGGCAAACAUUUGGACAUGUUUUUGAGGCAAUUUAUGUUUGGUGGGAUGCUUUUGUCUGCUUCACUUGGAAUUCUUGUCAAUUGAUGGAAAUUUUAAUGUACUUAUUGAAUGUUUUAAUGGAGA